rnacentral:rRNA from 1 species
GACGAACCGUGCGAACGUUGUUCGGAAUCACUGGGCUUAAAGGGCGCGUAGGCGGGUAACCAAGUCAGGGGUGAAAUCCGGCAGCUUAACUGUCGAACAGCUUCUGAUACUGGAUGUCUUGAGGGGGGUAGGGGCAUGUGGAACUUCCGGUGGAGCGGUGAAAUGCGCAGAUAUCAGGAGGAACACCGGUGGCGAAGGCGGAUCUCUGGGCCGUAACUGACGCUGAGGAGCGAAAGCAUGGGGAGCGAACAGG